rnacentral:rRNA from 1 species
GACAGAGGGUGCAAACGUUGUUCGGAAUUACUGGGCGUAAAGCGAGUGUAGGCGGUUGCCCAAGUCAGGUGUGAAAGCCUUGAGCUCAACUCAAGAAAUGCACUUGGUACUGGGUGGCUAGAGGACCGGAGAGGAUAGUGGAAUUCCCAGUGUAGUGGUGAAAUACGUAGAGAUUGGGAAGAACACCAGUGGCGAAGGCGGCUAUCUGGACGGUUACUGACGCUAAGACUCGAAAGCGUGGGGAGCAAACAGG